ACACGUUACUUUGUCUCAACACAACAGGUUAUACGCAUGACACUUUCAUCCUCUUUCGAUCAGGGCACUCUUUCCCUCCAUUUCACACAACUCCUCAUCACCAAUCAUCAAGAGAACAACGCUCACUCUCACCACUAGACAGUGAAAUCACAAGCUCAACCAUCAACAACACAUGGCACUAACGACAAUCACUUCCAACAACUUACCAAAAGAGGACUCGUUCAUCUUCGCUUUUACCUAGGAAUUGCAUUCCAUUUUUCACCCAUUGAAUUUCAUUAAUCCACAUCAAUCUACAAAGGAUUCCAAGGUAAUUCAAUUACUUUUUCUUCAACUAUUGUGCUAUUGUUAUAAUUCAAAAUUUUGGGUACAUUAUUGAGGAGUAUGGGUUUAGUUAAUUUGUGGUGUACUGGAUUGUGCUUGUGAUGUGAAAAUUGUUGCUUUGAUUUACCCUUAUUUUUACAAUUUUUAGGGAAGAACAUUAUGCUUUCAACUUGUUUGAUAAAAUGAACAAGUGAAAAUUCGUAUAUAUUUAGGGCUAAACUCGCAAUUGGAUUGAUUGAUUGAUAGAUAUUUGGGAUUGCCUUUAGUGUGGAAAUUCAUUGAAAUUGCUAGAAGAAAACACCUGAACAUCCUUGCACACAAUAGCUUGACAUGGCUAGGAAUUGACCACCUCACGUCAUGAACUUCGUCCCCAGUCGUCUAAUCCAAAUAACCUCUGUUUACCUUAACUCUGAACAUGAGUAAGACUAACAUAUAAUAUUUUAUAUGUCCAGAGCUCGCUUAAGAAAAGCUCACUAUCUCUUCAUGUUUUUCGAUGAUGAAAGUCAUUGAUCGGUUUAGGGUAAAACACGAAAUUAUCUAUUUUAUGUUGGUUUAGGGAAUGUGAGCUAUAUUUUCUUUAUCUAUUAACUACAUGCCCUACAUCAUGACAAUUCCUCGAGCAUAGCAUGAGCUUUUACAUUCAGGUGCAUGAAAAUUGACAUAUAAUAGUAUAGUUUGGGGGUAUUUUUACUCUAUCCUACUUUUUUGACUAUUACCUAUUAUAUUGACAAAUUUUAUUUUCUAUAUCUUUGUAGGAACAAAAUGCCCCAAAAAUGAAAAGCCAUAGCUCAAGGGAAAGGAUAGUCUAAAGUUGGCAAGACAUCAACCCGUUGUCAGAUGGCAAACAAAAUCUUGACGAAUGAGGAUAUACAGCGAUUUUUAAAUGUUGAAAACCGUGAGAAUUUUGAGGCGAAGUGGAAGGACAAAAAUCUAUAUCAAGACAGGCGGGUUAUAGUUGGUGACUUUCAGGGAACUCUACUGAAAAGAAUUAUACAACCAUGUCGUUGGGAAAAACUGGUUGGAACUCCUCAUACGACAUAUCCCUUUUUGGUUAAGGAGUUCUUCGCCCUUCAACACAGAGAUUGAUACCCCAGAGUCUCCCCUCAGAAAUCAGACAUGGAUUAGAGGAAAGUGGAUUCGGCUCAGCCCAGCAGUGAGUGAUAGAUAUUAUGAGUUGAACCACGCUCACGUACAGCCCCUAUCGGUUGAGCUAGUUCAUACAUUUCAUUUCAUGCAUUACAAGUUGACCCUGGAAUUAAGAAUAUUGCAUGUCAUUUUCUGCGUCAACAUCUAUCCUACAUCCCAGCAGACAAAGUUCAAUGAAGAAAGGGCUCGACUACUUUAUCAUCUGGCAAGAGUGCAGAAGUUUGACUUGGGAUCCCACAUAUAUGCAUUUAUAUAGACGUUGGCAUGUCUAUCGAUUCUGGUGCAGUAUAAUGUUUUCGUGCUUGAUUAGUAGGAUCAACUUCACAGCCAGGUACCACUUUUUCCAAGAGAAUAAAGUACUGUUCCAUAGGACCCAAUCAAUAGGAAAAUAAAUGAAAAUUCAAAAGCUAGGCUGAGAGGAGCGAACGAGCACAUAAUCUCAAGCAGGUAUCUCGACCACCACAGCAAGCUCCAUAUGCUAACACAAUCCUCCUAAGUAGGCAGUUGUUUUAGAUGCAAGUAACCCAGGUGGAUCUGGGUGGAUCAAUUGGCCGUAUAACAAAUGUGUUAGAAGCGAUGUAGCUAACAUAGCUAGACAUGCAAAAAGAGCCGCUAAGAGUGAGUGGCCUGGCACGUGGGUUCCACAAAAGUGAUAAUAGAACACGACAUGAUUAGAGAACCAUCACGUAUGCUUACAAUUAGGUGCACGAGCAGAUGCUAUGCUUCGGGAGUUGACAUGAGACGAUUGACAGUAAUGUCGCCCAGAUAGCAAGAACCAUUGAAUCUUUGAGGCCCACAACUUUUGCGAUCUUGCUGGACGAUCUUUCUACUCAUCCACAUCAUCCCUGGGGAGAUCCUUGUUCUUUACUCAUUUAUUUUGAUUUUGAUUUUGUUUUUGUUUUUACAUUGAAGACAAUGUAAUAGUUUUGUUUAGUGGUGGGUAAGUAUUAAGGUAUUUAGUGUAACACCCCGAACUUUUUUUAAUUAUUGUUCAUAUGGGCCUGAACUUCAUGUGGGCCACUUAGCAAAUGAAAUAAUUUAUGUUUAAAUUUGUCGUC
rnacentral:lncRNA from 1 species